rnacentral:rRNA from 1 species
CCUANGGGUGGCUGCAGUGAGGAAUAUUGCACAAUGGAGGAAACUCUGAUGCAGCAACGCCGCGUGGAGGAUGACGCAUUUCGGUGUGUAAACUCCUUUUAUUAGGGAAGAUAAUGACGGUACCUGCAAAAGAAGCUGCGGCUAACUACGUGCCAGCAGCCGCGGUAAUACGUAGGCAGCAAGCGUUGUUCGGAGUUACUGGGCGUAAAGAGUGCGUAGGCGGUCCUCUAAGUUCGGUGUGAAAUCUCCCGGCUCAACUGGGAGGGUGCGCCGAAAACUGGAGGGCUUGAGUAUGGGAGAGGAAAGCGGAAUUCCUGGUGUAGCGGUGAAAUGCGUAGAUAUCAGGAGGAACACCUGCGGUGUAGACGGCUUUCUGGACCAUGACUGACGCUGAGGCACGAAAGCGUGGGGAGCAAACAGGAUUAGAUACCCGUNUANUC